rnacentral:lncRNA from 1 species
CGGGGGGAGGGGACGGGGUUGGGGGGAAUUACCAUUAGCAGUUGAAGUGGUAGGAAAUUUUUACAUAGGAGAGUAUGGUGAUCAUAUUUGCAUUUUAGAAAAUAAUGGAUAGCAGUUUGUUAGGGGAACAAAGGACAGAGACAGGGAGACUAUUUAAAACAUUAAUAAAAAAUACCAGUGACAGAUGAUGAGGCACCUACCUGAUGGGAAUGGAGAAGAGGAGAUGGAUUCAGAAACUACUUAGGAGGUACAGUCAUCAAGAUCUAGAUGACUAAUUGCAUGUAGGGGGUAAAAAAGUAGGAAGAAGAGAGGAUGAUGACUCCUGCAUUUCUGGCUUGGGAAAGUGGUUAGAUUGUGGGCUGGAUGUGUGCAUGAUUAUGUGUGUGUAGCUGAAAAGGCAAUUUAGCUUUGCAACUGUUGAAGUGAAUAUGGACCAUAGACAUAGAUAUCCCUAGGUAGCUGAAUAUGUAGCCUGCAAAUCAGGAGAAAAUUCUAGGUGAAGAUGGUAAUUGCGAAUCAUCAGAGUCUAUAUGAGGCAGGCAGUCCAAGGCUGAUGCCCAAAGAAGCCAUCAAGACCCGUGCUACUUCCAGCUCCUUCUGUCCUCAUAAUCAUAGAUGAUUGCUCCACAUCCAGCACCUAACACCAGUACUCAGUUAAAUUUUUUGCUGAAUAAAUCAAUGAAUGGAGAGGUAAAGAGGAACCAGAAGUUGGGGUUACAGAAGUCACUGAUGGAAGAGUUUCAAGAUAGUAGAAGUGGUCAGCCCUGUUAAGUGACAAGCCAAGGACUGAAGAAAGACUGGCAGAUUUGGCAAUCAGAUGAAGUGACCUGACCAAAGAGCAGCUUGUGUGAAGUAGUGAGGACAGGCGCUGGUCUGCGACUGGUUUAGGAGGAAAUGGAAAUGAAGAAGAAGAGAUAGGAAAGUGGAGAUUAUAUGAUGACAAGUAUCAAGAUAAAAAUGAACACAUUUGGCCUGCUACCUGAAUUUUUUAAAUCGGCUCACCAAAAAAUAUCAGGCUUAUUGAAAUAUUGGAAUAUCUGAUGAAGUUUCCUCUUAUCUUUGAGCUGUUUGGGUUUGGGUAAAAUUUCAAUGCUUAAAAUUCACGUCUACAACUAGCAGGCAGAACCUUAAAGUCCAGAACCAUUAAAGGGUUUAAUAAUGGUGAGGCAUAUGAUGAUGCUGAUGAUGAUAAUGUUUCUUUCUUUCUUUUGUGAUCUUAAUCACUGUGUGAUCUUAACUAGUUUGAAAUGAGAAUUUCAAUGGAGACAGUAGUGUAAAUUUACCAACAGAACAAUUACAGUCGUGACAAAACAAAAACUA